rnacentral:lncRNA from 1 species
CCAGUUCCAGCCAGGUAUGAAAUACUCAGCUUCUUUUCCUAAUUACUUUUGAUUUUUUCCUUUGAACGUGCUCAAUCUUUUGUUUCUCAUAAAAACCCAGCUUCUUGUAAAGUCUUUUUUCACUUUUCCCCCUCCUUUUUCGUUCUUUAUUUGUUUUAAUGGUUAUUGGUUAAUGCAUGCUUUCGCCUAACACAAUUCCUUGACUAGUUGAGGAGAAUGGAUAUUUGUUUUCUUCGAGUGUUUUCUAAUUCUAUAUAGCACGGGCACCUUGUUGGACAUGAAUGAAUAUACUAUUUUAGGAGAAUGUUAAACAAUGUCUCCGGAGCAUUGGUUAAUCAACCACAAAAUAAAAAAGUUGUGUAGUUAUUACUUAAUCAAAAGUUAAAACUUUUAUUUUCAAGACAAAUCUAUUUAUAUUUUAUUUUCUCCUUUCAUACGUCUCGAUGUCGGUGUCUGACUUGUCUCGUGUUGUCCAACAUGUGUCGAUGUCUAACAUGCUUAGUAUACGACAUAUAUCGUUGUCUAACAUUCGUACUAUACAACAUCUGACGAAUAACUAAGACAAGUGUCUCAAGAAUCCCAUAUUUCUUCUUUACUUCGGCAUAUUUAUAGACAUAUUAUAUAUGAAGCUUAAAGAUGUAUAUCAAAUUAAUAAUGAUCGAUUAGAGAGUUAAACUAACCUAAAGACUACUCUUUCCAUUUCAAAUAUAAGCAAAGAUUGUUUUUGUCUAACAUGUGUACUUGUCUAACAUGCCUAGUAUACCACAUCUAUUGUUGUCUAGCAUUCAUGGUAUACAACAUCUGACGAAUAACUCUAACAAGUAUCUCAAGAAUCCCUUAUUUCUUCUUUGCUUAGACAUAUUUCAUAGUCAUAGACAUAUUAUAUUUAUAUAUGAAGUUUAGAGAUGUAUAUCAAAUUAAUAAAGCUUAAUUGCAGUUUUGGUCCUCUAAGUAUCACAAUCUUGCGAUUUUGAUCCCUUAUAAAAAACAAUAACAAAUCAACCCUCUAAGUUUAUCCCCUUUUGCACUUUUGGCCUCCCGGACCAAUUUUGACUAGGUCAAUGCAUAUGUGGCACCGAUAUCACUUUAUUUAUUAGGCUUAAUUGCAGUCUUAGCCCCCUAAGUAUCAUAAUCUUGCGAUUUUGGCCCCCUAAAAAAAUAGAAAGUCACACGUGGCACCUCACUUUAAGUGGUGUGGGUGCCACGUAUGUAUUGACUUGGUCAAAAUUAACCUGGGGGCCAAAAAUGCAAUAGAGGGCAAACUCAGAGAGCUGGUUUGUUAUUAUUUUAUAGGGGACCAAAAUCACAACAUUGUGAUACUUAGGGGGCCAAAACUGCAAUCAAGCGAAUUAAUAAUGAUCAAUUAGAGAGUAAAACUAACCUAAAGACUAUUCUUUCAAUUUCAAAUAUAAGCAAAAAUUGUUUUUUCAAUUUCAUUGAAUAACUGAUGUAUUUAGUCUAUAUUAUAAAUUAGAUACAUUAAUUAUUCAACAAAUCUGAAGAAAAAAUAUUUGCUUAUAUUUAAGAUUAGAGGGAGUAAUAUUUGUUUGGACACAUAGGAAGCAAUAUUUACUAAUGUUAGUCGUUCAAGAUAAAAAUAAAAAAAUGCUCAGUUUAAAUGGCAGUCAAAGGGUGACAAUAUAGUUGAGAUGUCUUGCUUUUAUCAUGUGAUGCAUUUGCGCUUCAGAGUGUUGUCAACAUAGGUAAUGUAAGGGUUCAGUUUGAAUAGACUAGGCGUUAAAGUUUAGUAUAUUGCAAUUUUGAUUGUUUAACCACCACCAUUAUUUUGGAUAGGUUCCCGUCGCGUGAGAAUCUUUUAAAGCGGGGGGUUUAGUGGAUCUUACGAGUGCUUAAUGUCAAUUAUGUGGGAGUAGUGUCGAAUUUGCGGAUCAUCUUUUUGUUACUUGUUGGGUGGUGUCUAGGGUUUGGUACUUGGUGUGUAAGUGGCUAGGGUUUGAGUGGGUUUUGCCGGGGAAUUUGGUCGGAUUGUUUCAGAUGUUCGUAGCUUUAGGGUGUGAUAGAAAGACUAGGCUAGGGUGUAUUUUGGUCUAGCAUACAUCUAUGUGGUCUAUCUGAAAAGCUUGGAACAACCUUAUUUUUUCUGGUAGGAUUCCCGAGCUCGAGCAAUUGGUGGAUAAGAUCCAAAUCAUGUCUUAGAAGUGGUUCCUUGGGAGACACCCUUUGUGCCACUAUUCCUAUUAUGAGUGGAAGGUGGAACCCCUCUUUUGUUGGCGCCAAUAGUGUGCGAAGUGGAGGUCAGAGAUGGAUCUGACAUGUGUUGUGGGUGGGGCUAGGCUUUCAUUUUCUCUCUGGUGGGGAGAGUCCUCUUCGCUUUGCUACCUUUUUGGUGCUAGGUGGGAGUGGGUCUCUUUGGAGCUUCGAGGGUCUUUCUUGACCCCUAGCCUUUUUUGUUGUAGUUUGUGGUGUAUUUUUAUUUUUGUUUUGGAGUAUUGGUGAUAUCAGCUGAUUCUCGUGUUGUUCCCUUUCGGUGUUAAGCCGUUUUUGGUUUUAAUAUAUGUUUUUACCAUUAAAAAAAAUGAUAUUUGCACAAACCAUUUUGGUACAACAUUUGUACAACUUUCUCUCUCAUACUUAUAUUAUGUUUUAAUUCUCUCUCUCUCUCUCUCUUCCUUUUUCUCUCUCUAUUGUUUUUGACCAAUGAUAAGAGAGAACAACAAAGUUGUCUCAAAAGUUGUACCAAAAUGGUCGUAAAAAACCACUUUUUCAUUUGAUUAAGAUGAAUAUGAUUAGCAGAACACGCAGGACAAAACUGAGACAAAUAUGACUAUGAGCCAUAUUACCAGCAGCGGCAGUAAUAGUCCUUCAUAUGACAAUAUGCCUAACUCAAAUCAGCACCACCAAUAACCAUCAAUGUUUCAAUGGCCUUAUAACCCUCAAUAUGCCACACAAACAUCAUGGACACAGUUACCGCAUCCACAGCAAGGACACCCAACAUUGCCCUUUUGGCCACCUCAACAGUUUGGAGCAAAUAUCCCUCCCAUUUUUCAG